AGAUUAAGCCAUGCAUGUCUAAGUAUGAAUGUCUCUAUACUGUGAAACUGCGAAUGGCUCAUUAAAUCAGUUAUAGUUUACUUGAUGGUAACCUUACUCGGAUAACUGUACCAAUUGUAGAGCUAAUACGUGCACCAAGUCCCGACUUCUGGAAGGGAUGUAUUUAUUAGAUACAAAGCCAAUGCGGGCUUCGGCCCGGUACAGUUGGCGAGUCAUGAUAACUGCUCGAAUCGCAUGGCCUAGGCGCCGGCGAUGGUUCAUUCAAAUUUCUGCCCUAUCAACUUUCGAUGGUAGGGUAUUGGCCUACCAUGGUUACAACGGGUAACGGAGAAUUAGGGUUCGAUUCCGGAGAGGGAGCCUGAGAAACGGCUACCACAUCCAAGGAAGGCAGCAGGCGCGCAAAUUACCCAAUCCCGACUCGGGGAGGUAGUGACAAUAAAUAACAAUGCUGGGCUAUUUUGGUCUGGCAAUUGGAAUGAGAACAAUAUAAAUCCCUUAACGAGGAACAAUUGGAGGGCAAGUCUGGUGCCAGCAGCCGCGGUAAUUCCAGCUCCAAUAGCGUAUAUUAAAGUUGUUGCAGUUAAAAAGCUCGUAGUUGGGUUUCGGAGCGGUCAGGCUGGUCCGCCGAGAGGCGAGUACUGGCCGGCCGCUCUUCCUCUCGGAGUCCCUGUCUGCUCUUUGUUGCAGUGGGCAGGGAAUUCGGGACGUUUACUUUGAAAAAAUUAGAGUGUUCAAAGCAGGCGAUUGCUUGAAUACAUUAGCAUGGAAUAAUGGAAUAGGACCUCGGUCCUAUUU
rnacentral:rRNA from 1 species